rnacentral:tRNA from 1 species
GUGGCUAUAGCUCAGCUGGGAGAGCGCCUGCUUUGCACGCAGGAGGUCUGCGGUUCGAUCCCGCAUAGCUCCACCA